AGGGGUGUAGCUCAGUGGUAGAAUACUUGCCCAGCAUGUGCACCUGGGUUUGAUCCCCAGCACCCCCC
rnacentral:tRNA from 1 species